rnacentral:rRNA from 1 species
AUGAACGCUGGCGGCUUGCCUAAUACAUGCCCGUCGAGCGCACAGACGAGGAGCUUGCUCCUCUGACGUUAGCGGCGGACGGGUGAGUAACACGUGGAUAACCUACCUAUAAGACUGGGAUAACUUCGGGAAACCGGAGCUAAUACCGGAUAAUAUAUUGAACCGCAUGGUUCAAUAGUGAAAGACGGUUUUGCUGUCACUUAUAGAUGGAUCCGCGCCGCAUUAGCUAGUUGGUAAGGUAACGGCUUACCAAGGCAACGAUGCGUAGCCGACCUGAGAGGGUGAUCGGCCACACUGGAACUGAGACGCGGUCCAGACUCCUACGGGAGGCAGCAGUAGGGAAUCUUCCGCAAUGGGCGAAAGCCUGACGGAGCAACGCCGCGUGAGUGAUGAAGGUCUUCGGAUCGUAAAACUCUGUUAUUAGGGAAGAACAAAUGUGUAAGUAACUAUGCACGUCUUGACGGUACCUAAUCAGAAAGCCACGGCUAACUACGUG